rnacentral:misc_RNA from 1 species
GAUGAAGAACGUAGCGAAAUGCGAUAAGUAAUGUGAAUUGCAGAGUUCAGUGAAUCAUCGAAUCUUUGAACGCACAUUGCGCCCGCCAGUAUUCUGGCGGGCAUGCCUGUUCGAGCGUCAUUUCAACCCUCAAGCCCUCGGGUUUGGUGUUGGGGAUCGGCGAGCCUUUCUGGCAAGCCGGCCCCGAAAUCUAGUGGCGGUCUCGCUGCAGCCUCCAUUGCGUAGUAGUAAAACCCUCGCAACUGGAACGCGGCGCGGCCAAGCCGUUAAACCCCCAACUUCUGAAUGUUGACCUCGGAUCAGGUAGGAAUACCCGCUGAACUUAAGCAUAUCAAUAAGCGGAGGA